rnacentral:rRNA from 1 species
UACGAAGGGUGUAAGCGUUACUCGGAAUUACUGGGCGUAAAGCGUGCGUAGGUGGUUUGUUAAGUCUGCUGUGAAAGCCCCGGGCUCAACCUGGGAAUGGCAGUGGAUACUGGCAAGCUAGAGUGCGGUAGAGGGGUGUGGAAUUCCCGGUGUAGCGGUGAAAUGCGUAGAGAUCGGGAGGAACACCAGUGGCGAAGGCGGCACCCUGGACCAGCACUGACACUGAGGCACGAAAGCGUGGGGAGCAAACAGG